GGACGUGGCGCAGUCAGGUAGCGCACUCGGCUGGGGGCCGAGUGGUCGCCGGUUCGAAUCCGGCCGUCCCGA
rnacentral:tRNA from 1 species